UGGGGAAUUGUUCGCAAUGGGCGAAAGCCUGACGACGCAACGCCGCGUGGAGGAUGAAGGUCUUCGGAUUGUAAACUCCUGUUGCCCGGGACGAAUGAUCCGCGAUUGUACACAUCGCGGAGAUGACGGUACCGGCUGAGGAAGCCCCGGCUCACUCUGUGCCAGCAGCCGCCGUAAUACAGAGGGGGCAAGCGUUGUUCGGAAUUACUGGGCGUAAAGGGCGCGUAGGCGGCCCACUAAGGCGGACGUUAAAUCCCUCGGCUCAACCGGGGAACUGCGUCCGAAACUGUGGGGCUCGAAUCCGGGGGAGGGAUGCGGAAUUCCAGGUGUAGCGGUGAAAUGCGUAGAUAUCUGGAGGAACACCGGUGGCGAAGGCGGGUCUCUGGGACGGUACUGACGCUGAGACGCGAAAGCGUGGGGAGCAAACA
rnacentral:rRNA from 1 species